rnacentral:rRNA from 1 species
UGGGGAAUAUUGCACAAUGGACGGAAGUUUGAUGCAGCGACGCCGCGUGGAGGGUGUAGGCCUUCGGGUUGUGAACUCCUUUUUCUCGCGAAAAAGGCACAGUUUUGGCUGUGUUGAUGGUAGUGGGGGAAGAAGCGCCGGCUAACUACGUGCCAGCAGCCGCGGUAAUACGUAGGGCGCGAGCGUUGUCCGGAUUUAUUGGGCGUAAAGAGCUCGUAGGUGGUUCGUCGCGUCUGUCGUGAAAGCCAGCAGCUUAACUGUUGGUCUGCGGUGGGUACGGGCGGGCUUGAGUGCGGUAGGGGUGACUGGAAUUCCUGGUGUAGCGGUGGAAUGCGCAGAUAUCAGGAGGAACACCGAUGGCGAAGGCAGGUCACUGGGCCGUUACCGACACUGAGGAGCGAAAGCGUGGGGAGCGAACAGG